rnacentral:tRNA from 1 species
GGUAGCUCAAUGGCAGAGCAUCUGCUCUGCAUGCAGAGGAUCCCAGGUUCAAUCCCUGGCAUCUCCA